rnacentral:rRNA from 1 species
CUAAGUUUGAUGGCGACCGGCGCACGGGUGAGUAACACGUAUCCAACCUGCCGAUGACUCGGGGAUAGCCUUUCGAAAGAAAGAUUAAUACCCGAUGGCAUAGUUCUUCCGCAUGGUAGAACUAUUAAAGGAUUUCGGUCAUCGAUGGGAUGCGUUCCAUUAGGUUGUUGGCGGGGUAACGGCCCACCAAGCCUUCGAUGGAUAGGGGUUCUGAGAGGAAGGUCCCCCACAUUGGAACUGAGACACGGUCCAAACUCCUACGGGAGGCAGCAUG